UACAGGGGGUGCAAACGUUGCUCGGAAUCAUUGGGCGUAAAGCGCACGUAGGCGGUCUGUGAUGUCGGAUGUGAAAGCCCUUGGCUCAACUGAGGAAGUGCAUCCGAAACUGGCAGGCUAGAGUACUAAAGAGGAUCGCGGAAUUCCCGGUGUAGAGGUGAAAUUCGUAGAUAUCGGGAGGAACACCGGUGGCGAAGGCGGCGAUCUGGGUGGAUACUGACGCUGAGGUGCGAAAGCGUGGGGAGCAAACAGG
rnacentral:rRNA from 1 species